UUGAUCCUGGCUCAGAGUGAAUGCUGGCGGCGUGUCUAACACAUGCAAGUCGAACGAGAAAGUUUUCUNUCGGAGAACGAGUACAGUGGCAGACGGGUGAGUAAUGCAUAGAUAAUCUACCCGGAAGCAGGGAAUAACACACUGAAAAGCGUGCUAAUACCCUAUAAUGUCUGCUUUUAUUAAGAAGGCAGAUGAAAGGAGGGGCUACCUAUAAGGUACCUUCCACUUUCGGAUGAGUCUAUGUCCUAUUAGCUUGAUGGUGGGGUAACGGCCUACCAUGGCGAUGAUGGGUAGCCGAGCUGAGAGGCUGAUCGGCCACACUGGAACUGAAACACGGUCCAGACUCCCACGGGAGGCUGCAGUGGAGAAUUUUGCGCAAUGGGCGAAAGCCUGACGCAGCGACGCCGCGUGAGGGAUGAAGGUCUUCGGAUCGUAAACCUCUGUCAAGAAGGAGUAAACGUGCGCAUACGAAUAAUAUGUGCAUCUGACAUUACUUCUAGAGGAAGUCCCGGCUAAUUACGUGCCAGCAGCCGCGGUAAUACGUAGGGGGCAAGCAUUACUCGGAAUUACUGGGUGUAAAGCGAGCGUAGGCGGUUUGGUAAGUUAGUGGUGAAAGUCCCCGGCUUAACCGGGGGAUUGCCAUUAAAACUGCCGGACUAGAGGACAAGAGAGGAAAGUGGAAUUCCUAGUGUAGCGGUGGAAUGCGUAGAGAUUAGGAAGAACACCGGAAGCGAAGGCGGCUUUCUGGAUUGGUCCUGACGCUGAGGUUCGAAAGCUAGGGUAGCGAACAGGAUUAGAUACCCUGGUAGUCCUAGCCGUAAACGAUGGAUACUAGACUUUGCAUUUGCAGGGUCGUAGUUAACGCGUUAAGUAUCCCACCUGGGUAGUACGAUCACAAGGUUGAAACUCAAAGGAAUUGACGGGGACCCGCACAAGCAGUGGAGCAUGUGGUUUAAUUCGAUGCAACCCGAAAAACCUUACCUGGGCUUGAACUUUGGGCAUUAGCCCCCUGAAAGGGUGGGUGAUCCGACUCUGUCGGAACCCAGAGAGGUGCUGCAUGGCUGUCGUCAGUUCGUGUCGUGAGAUGUUGGGUUAAGUCCCGCAACGAACAAAACCCUUGUUCUUAGUUGUCAGCGAGUAAAGUCGGAUACUUUAAGAAGACUGCCGGUGAUAAAUCGGAGGAAGGUGGGGAUGACGUCAAGUCAGCAUGGCCUUUAUGUCCAGGGCUACACACGUGCUACAAUGGAUGGUACAGAGGGACGCUAAACCGCAAGGUAGUGCAAAUCCCUAAAGCCAUUCUCAGUUCGGAUUGCAGGCUGCAAUUCGCCUGCAUGAAGUUGGAAUUGCUAGUAAUCACGGAUCAGCAUGCCGUGGUGAUUCGUUCUCGGGUCUUGACACACCGCCCGUCACAUCACGAAAGCUGGUAGUGCCAGAAGUCACGUAUCCAACAUUAUGAGGAGAGUGCCCAAGGCAAAAUCAGUGAUUGGGGUGAAGUCGUA
rnacentral:rRNA from 1 species